rnacentral:rRNA from 1 species
UACGGAGGGUGCAAGCGUUAAUCGGAAUUACUGGGCGUAAAGCGCACGCAGGUGGCUGAGUGAGUCGAGUGUGAAAGCCCCCGGCUCAACUGGGGAGGGUCACUCGAUACUGAUCGACUUGAAGGCAGGAGAGGGAAGCGGAAUUCCCGGUGUAGUGGUGAAAUGCGUAGAUAUCGGGAGGAACACCAGUGGCGAAGGCGGCUUCCUGGCCUGUUCUUGACGCUGAGGCGCGAAAGCUAGGGGAGCAAACGGG